GGUGAACGCUAGCGGCGUGCUUAACACAUGCAAGUCGAGCGGUAAGGCCCUUUCGGGGGUACACGAGCGGCGAACGGGUGAGUAACACGUGGGUGACCUGCCUUCAGCUCUGGGAUAAGCCUGGGAAACUGGGUCUAAUACCGGAUAUGACUCCAUGAUGCAUGUUGUGGGGUGGAAAGCUUUUGCGGCUGGAGAUGGGCCCGCGGCCUAUCAGCUUGUUGGUGGGGUGA
rnacentral:rRNA from 1 species